rnacentral:rRNA from 1 species
UCAAAGGAAUUGACGGGGACCCGCACAAGCGGUGGAGCAUGUGGUUUAAUUCGAAGCAACGCGAAGAACCUUACCAAAUCUUGACAUCCUUUGACAACUCUAGAGAUAGAGCCUUCCCCUUCGGGGGGCAAAGUGACAGGUGGUGCAUGGUUGUCGUCAGCUCGUGUCGUGAGAUGUUGGGUUAAGUCCCGCAACGAGCGCAACCCUUAAGCUUAGUUGCCAUCAUUAAGUUGGGCACUCUAAGUUGACUGCCGG